rnacentral:hammerhead_ribozyme from 1 species
GCAUUGCUGGGGAGUCCCAUAAUAGGACGAAACGGUCGUUCAGUGC